GACGAACGCUGGCGGCGCGCCUAACACAUGCAAGUCGAACGAGCGAGAGAGAUCUUGCUUUCUUGAGCGAGUGGCGAACGGGUGAGUAACGCGUGAGGAACCUGCCUCAAAGAGGGGGACAACAGUUGGAAACGACUGCUAAUACCGCAUAAGCCCACGGUGCCGCAUGGCACAGAGGGAAAAGGAGCAAUCCGCUUUGAGAUGGCCUCGCGUCCGAUUAGCUAGUUGGUGAGGUAACGGCCCACCAAGGCGACGAUCGGUAGCCGGACUGAGAGGUUGAACGGCCACAUUGGGACUGAGACACGGCCCAGACUCCUACGGGAGGCAGCAGUGGGGAAUAUUGCACAAUGGGGGAAACUCUGAUGCAGCGACGCCGCGUGGAGGAAGAAGGCCUUCAGAUUGUAAACUCCUGUUGUUGGGGAAGAUAAUGCCGGUACCCAACAAGGAAGUGACGGCUAACUACGUG
rnacentral:rRNA from 1 species